GGCCGAGUACGCAAACAGGCAAAGCGGCGAGGUCGAGAAUCUCGUGAUUUUGCAGGUUCGAUUCCUGCCUCGGUCA
rnacentral:tRNA from 1 species